rnacentral:RNase_P_RNA from 1 species
AGAGUCGAUCGGACAGUCGCUGCCUGUUUUCGUUCCGCAACUUUUUGUUGUGUGAGCAGCAGGGGGAGGAAAGUCCGGGCUCCAUAGGGCAGAGUGCCAGGUAACGCCUGGGAGGCGCGAGCCUACGGAAAGUGCCACAGAAAAUAACCGCCUAAGCACUUCGGUGCCGGUAA